GAGUUGCGAACGGGUGAGUAACGCGUAGGUAACCUGCCUAUUAGAGGGGGAUAACUAUUGGAAACGAUAGCUAAUACCGCAUAACAGUAUGUAACACAUGUUAGAUGCUUGAAAGAUGCAAUUGCAUCGCUAGUAGAUGGACCUGCGUUGUAUUAGCUAGUAGGUAGGGUAAUGGCCUACCUAGGCGACGAUACAUAGCCGACCUGAGAGGGUGAUCGGCCACACUGGGACUGAGACACGGCCCAGACUCCUACGGGAGGCAGCAGUAGGGAAUCUUCGGCAAUGGGGGGAACCCUGACCGAGCAACGCCGCGUGAGUGAAGAAGGUUUUCGGAUCGUAAAGCUCUGUUGUUAAGGAAGAACGAGUGUGAGAAUGGAAAGUUCAUACUGUGACGGUAYUUAACCAGAAAGGGACGGCUAACUACGUGCCAGCAGCCGCGGUAAUACGUAGGUCCCGAGCGUUGUCCGGAUUUAUUGGGCGUAAAGCGAGCGCAGGCGGUUAGAAAAGUCUGAAGUGAAAGGCAGUGGCUCAACCAUUGUAGGCUUUGGAAACUGUUUAACUUGAGUGCAGAAGGGGAGAGUGGAAUUCCAUGUGUAGCGGUGAAAUGCGUAGAUAUAUGGAGGAACACCGGUGGCGAAAGCGGCUCUCUGGUCUGUAACUGACGCUGAGGCUCGAAAAGCGUGGGGAGCGAACAGGAUUAGAUACCCUGGCUAGUCCACGCCAGUAAACGAUGAGUUGCUAGGUGUUGGGUCCUUUCCGGGACUCAGUGCCGCAGCUAACGCAUUAAGCACUCCGCCUGGGGAGUACGACCGCAAGGUUGAAACUCAAAGGAAUUGACGGGGGCCCGCACAAGCGGUGGAGCAUGUGGUUUAAUUCGAAGCAACGCGAAGAACCUUACCAGGUCUUGACAUCCCGAUGCUAUUUCUAGAGAUAGGAAGUUUCUUCGGAACAUCGGUGACAGGUGGUGCAUGGUUGUCGUCAGCUCGUGUCGUGAGAUGUUGGGUUAAGUCCCGCAACGAGCGCAACCCUUAUUGUUAGUUGCCAUCAUUGAGUUGGGCACUCUAGCGAGACUGCCGGUAAUAAACCGGAGGAAGGUGGGGAUGACGUCAAAUCAUCAUGCCCCUUAUGACCUGGGCUACACACGUGCUACAAUGGCUGGUACAACGAGUCGCAAGCCGGUGACGGCAAGCUAAUCUCUGAAAGCCAGUCUCAGUUCGGAUUGUAGGCUGCAACUCGCCUACAUGAAGUCGGAAUC
rnacentral:rRNA from 1 species